ACUGUGUGUUUCAGCUCUCUGGUGUGAACGAGGACAUCGUCACCAAACUGGACAAAGCAGUGAUCAGGACCAACAAGGGUAAAAGUGAUGAAGGAAAUUUCCUCGCCAGGAUCUUCGCGACCAUGAAACAAUGGUUCUCACAGUGAUAGCUGUAAUUGGUUUCAUUGUCUACAAAAAGAGAACAGGUGAGAGACAAAAACAGAAAUCCCUUUUACUCGAUGGCUUAUCCAAAACAGAAUAAGCUCCACAAGGCCCAGAGUCACAAUUCCAGAAGAAUAGGAGCUGCAUGA